rnacentral:rRNA from 1 species
AUACCGCGUGUGGGAUGAAGGCCUUCGGGUCGUAAACCACUUUUUUCGGGGACGAUAAUGACGGUACCCGAAGAAUAAGCCACGGCUAACUACGUGCCAGCAGCCGCGGUAAUACGUAGGUGGCAAGCGUUGUCCGGAUUUACUGGGCGUAAAGCGCGCGCAGGCGGUGAAUGAAGUCGAAAGUGAAAGCCCCGGGCUCAACUCGGGAACUGCUUUCGAAACCAGUUCACUUGAAGGCGGAAGAGGGAAGUGGAAUUCCGAGUGUAGUGGUGGAAUGCGUAGAUAUUCGGAAGAACACCAGAGGCGAAGGCGACUUCCUGGUCCGAUCUUGACGCUGAGGCGCGAAAGCUAGGGGAGCAAACGGGAUUAGAUACCCCGGUAGUCCUAGCUGUAAACGAUGGAUACUAGGUGUUGGAGGUUUUAACCCCUCCGGUGCCGCAGCUAACGCAUUAAGUAUCCCGCCUGGGGAGUACGGCCGCAAGGCUACAACUCAAAGGAGUUGACGGGGCCCCGCACAAGCAGCGGAGCGUGGGGUUUAAUUCGAUGAUACGCGAAGAGCUUACCAAGACUUGACAUGCGCAUGACCGGGGGUGGAAACGUCGCUUCCC